CUGAGUCUUAUCUCCGGGGUUCUGUAUGUAGCAUUUCUCCACCCUUCGUCUUUUUGUCCACCAGGCCCUGGGGACCCCAGGAGCUCCCAGUGAUCCGGCAAUUAAAGGGUUACUGCCUGUUCCAGCAGGAGGCCUCCCGGGACCCUGUCCCAGCGCUUUGGCUCUAUCCAUUUGUGUUCAGCAGGGUUAUCAUAAGUCCAAGAGAAAACACGAAUAUUUCAAGAGAAACUCCUAUAAUCUUGAUGUUCACGGAGUGCCACAGACUCCUUUGUCCAUGAGUAGUGAAAAUGUGAAGGAAGAGAACCUACUUUUGAAUCAAAGAGACUGGGGCCCUGCCAAUGACCAGCGUGUGACUCUCAGAAACCACCUAACCUCUCUGGGCCUUAGUUUGCCUCAUUUGUAGACUGGGCACAAUGUUACCACCCUUCAGGUUUGUGCCAAAGAUUAGAGUUUAUGGGUGCAAAGCCCUUGUCACAGUGCCCGGCAGGUCGUGGCUGCUCAGGAAACAAUAGCCGUAAUCGUUAUUAGCAUCGUUGUGUCCGUGAUUCAGAGGACACCAGCUUUUUCCAUCAAAUUUCACUUUGAAACUGAUAAAAUGUCAGAGCUACCAAAGAGGAGUUUGUACAAUGAAUGUCAGAAUUUCUAAGACCACAAAUAUACGAUUCCAAGCUGAACAAUAAUUUUCUGCCUAUCAUUUUGGGACCAGUAUAUGUUGAUUUUAGAUGAGAAUUCUUUGAUUUUUUUUUUAGCAUCAUUGGGUAUGGAAAUCCUGUACUAGUACCAGACAUCAUAACAAUUUACAUAGCUGUAUUUGUGAGAUAAUGUAAAUUCCAUAGAAAAUCGUGUUUGAAUGAUUAUAAAUGUUAUUCCAGCAUCAGCCCAAGAUUUUUAAAUAAUUAAUUUAGCUAUGAAAUUUAACAUUAUUUAAAUAUACUCAAAAUGAUCUAAAUGUAUCUUUUGAAUAUUUUGAACUUUGCAAGUUGAUUUCAUUGUAUACGUUGACAGCUGAGGUAGCCUGUCUCAUAAAGCUAUAUUAAAUCUUGAAAAAAAUGAAACAACUUAGAAAAAUCUUUCCAAAUUCUGUGAAAUGACUUUCUAUUUAUUGUUCACAUGUA